rnacentral:rRNA from 1 species
GUGGGGAAUUUUGGACAAUGGGGGCAACCCUGAUCCAGCCAUCCCGCGUGUGCGAUGAAGGCCUUCGGGUUGUAAAGCACUUUUGGCAGGGAAGAAAAGUUUCGGGCUAAUACCCUGGAGCGAUGACGGUACCUGCAGAAUAAGCACCGGCUAACUACGUGCCAGCAGCCGCGGUAAUACGUAGGGUGCAAGCGUUAAUCGGAAUUACUGGGCGUAAAGCGUGCGCAGGCGGUUCGGAAAGAAAGAUGUGAAAUCCCAGGGCUUAACCUUGGAACUGCAUUUUUAACUGUCGAACUCGAGUAUGUCAGAGGGGGGUAGAAUUCCACGUGUAGCAGUGAAAUGCGUAGAGAUGUGGAGGAAUACCGAUGGCGAAGGCAGCCCCCUGGGAUAAUACUGACGCUCAUGCACGAAAGCGUGGGGAGCAAACAGGAUUAGAUACCCUGGUAGUCC